rnacentral:rRNA from 1 species
UACGUAGGGGGCAAGCGUUUGUCCGGAAUCACUGGGCGUAAAGCGCGCGCAGGCGGCUAUCUACGUCCGGGGUGAAAGCCCAGAGCUCAACUCUGGGACUGCCUUGGAUACGGGAUCGCUUGAGGAUCGGAGAGGCAAGGGGAAUUCCACGUGUAGCGGUGAAAUGCGUAGAGAUGUGGAGGAACACCGGGUGGCGAAGCGGUUCUCUGGGCCUUACCUGACGCUGGAGGAGCGAAAGCCGUGGGGAGCGAACAGG